rnacentral:rRNA from 1 species
GACGAACGCUGGCGGCACGCUUAACACAUGCCAGUCGAACGAGAGAAGAGAAGCUUGCUUUUCUGAUCUAGUGGCGGACGGGUGAGUAACACGUGAGCAAUCUGCCUUUCAGAGGGGGAUACCGAUUGGAAACGAUCGUUAAUACCGCAUAACAUAAUUGAACCGCAUGAUUUGAUUAUCAAAGAUUUAUCGCUGAAAGAUGAGCUCGCGUCUGAUUAGCUAGUUGGUAAGGUAACGGCUUACCAAGGCGACGAUCAGUAGCCGGACUGAGAGGUUGAUCGGCCACAUUGGGACUGAGACACGGCCCAGACUCCUACGGGAGGCAGCAGUGGGGAAUAUUGCACAAUGGAGGAAACUCUGAUGCAGCGAUGCCGCGUGAGGGAAGAAGGUUUUAGGAUUGUAAACCUCUGUCUUCAGGGACGAAAAAAGACGGUACCUGAGGAGGAAGCUCCGGCUAACUACGUG